rnacentral:rRNA from 1 species
UACGUAGGUCUCAAGCGUUAUCCGGAUUUACUGGGCGUAAAGUGUCCGUAGCCUGAUAUAUAAGUCCGUUUUCAAAUACUCCGACUCAAUCAGAGAAAGGGGAUGGAUACUGUAUAUCUAGAAGUUAUUAGGGGUUAGUGGAAUUUCCGGUGGAGCGGUGAAAUGCGUUGAUAUCGGAAAGAACGCCGAAAGCGAAAGCAGCUAACUAUAAUAAACUUGACGUUGAGGGACGACAGCAUGGGGAGCAAACAGG